AGCUCCAAUAGCGUAUAUUAAAGUUGUUGCAGUUAAAAAGCUCGUAGUCUGAUUACGGGCGUGCGCGCGCAGGGUCGGGGCCGAAUGGCCUUUGCACCUUGCGCAUGCACGCCCUUUUGUUUGGAGGAGCGUGCGUGCUAUUAUGGAUACGGUGCGGACGUUAUUCCGGAGUUUUACUUUGAGAAAAAUAGAGUGUUCAAAGCAGGCGAUUGCCUUGAAUACAUUAGCAUGGGAUAAUGGAACAGGACGUCAGUUCUGUUUUGAUGGUUUUCGGACCGACGUAACGAUGAAUAGAGGCAGCUGGGGGCACUUAUAUUCCAUGGCUAGAGGUGAAAUUCUUGGAUUCAUGGAAGAUAAACUACUGCGAAAGCAUUUGUCAAAGAUGUUUUCA
rnacentral:rRNA from 1 species